AUUGAACGCUGGCGGCAUGACUUACACAUGCAAGUCGAACGGCAGCAUGGAAGAGCUUGCUCUUCUGAUGGCGAGUGGCGAACGGGUGAGUAAAGCAUCGGAACGUACCGUGUAGUGGGGGAUAACGUAGCGAAAGUUACGCUAAUACCGCAUACGGCACUGAGGUGGAAAAGCAGGGGAUCGCAAGACCUUGCGCUAUACGAGCGGCCGAUGUCAGAUUAGCUAGUUGGUAGGGUAAAGGCCUACCAAGGCGACGAUCUGUAGCGGGUCUGAGAGGAUGAUCCGCCACACUGGGACUGAGACACGGCCCAGACUCCUACGGGAGGCAGCAGUGGGGAAUUUUGGACAAUGGGCGAAAGCCUGAUCCAGCCAUGCCGCGUGAGUGAAGAAGGCCUC
rnacentral:rRNA from 1 species